rnacentral:rRNA from 1 species
CGGUGGGGUGACUUGUCUGGUUAAUUCCGAUAACGGACGAGACCUCGACGUAUUAAAUAAUUAGACUAAGAUUUUCUUGGUUUUGAUUACUUAUUGGGACACUGAGUUUCUAUCUCAGGGAAGUCCGAGCCUAUAACA